CCUGUGCCUGCGCUGCGACAUGCUGGGUGUCUUUUAUUUGUUUUCUUUCCUGGUGAUACUACCCCUCUUGGGGCAGACGCUUUAGUGAGAUGGAUCGCACUCAGAACUUCUGCAAGAGAGGAAUUGGAGUCCUGGCAGAGUGACCAGAAGUGUGACAUUCAGGAGAGGAAAGAUAUUUCCGGAUACUGUCACAGCAUCUGAGGAUCCAUAUUCCAGCUGUUCUCAGUCUUUCCCAUUUCUGGAAGCCUGCCCCUCCUUCAGCUCCAACCACAAAGGUCUACGCAAUAGAAAUCCAGUCAUUCUCCAAGAGGCAACUUGCUUGAUGACAAUCAGCAUUCCUGUCACUUUCAGAUGUCACCAGCUAUAUCUUGCUGCUGCUUUACUUCAGAUUUGAAGUUCUAUCUGCUCUUUGCUCUUUUUUGGUUGAAAAAAACCUUCCCACCAUGGUGUCUAAAUACUUGGGAAAGCAUUUUCAAAAGACCCAAAAAUGUAUGGGGGAUGCUUCAGAUUUUGUUUAAAAAGAAAGAAAAAGGAAUAAAUCUUCAGAGUCCUGUUGAAUAUUUGUACAUCUGUAUAUAUUUGAUUCCUCAUGUCUUUAACCUCAACACUAGUAUACUGAAGUGCACUGGAUCCUAAUUUCCAAUAAGUUUUAGUAACUUAAUAUCCUAGUUAAUUUUUACAAUAUUGCAUGUUAAGCUUACCUUUAUGUUGACAACUAGAACACAUGCUAUGCUGCUCAAAUAUGUACACAUAGAAUGCUUGUGUGUGUGCACCACAAAUUAAAAAAAAAAUUGUAAAAAACUUAAACUGCUAAAC